GGCGGGUGGUGUGCGCAGUCUCCGUCUGCGUUCAGUGCCGUCUCCAGCUUGUGUCUUACAGGCUGGGUGUCUGUGCUCACACCAGACCUGCAGCCACAGAGCCGCUGGAGAUCAUAGUACUGGCCUAGUGACGUCUCUGAGACUCUCCACCACUGGCCAGCCUCCAUUCUCUCCCACAAAA
ensembl:snoRNA Small nucleolar RNA SNORA23